rnacentral:lncRNA from 1 species
UAUCAGAGUCUUGCAGUUCUGAGUGAAUCCUACGAAAAACCAACCAAUCGGGGCUCGGGGUGGGUCCGUGAAGGUUUUGUUACUUUAAUUUCCGAGGCAAAACGGAGAAUGGAAAAACGAAAAAGUUCAUUCACAUAUGCUAUGUAAGCUGGUUGCUGGCACCUGCAGGCCUGUUUGAAGGACAACUGGACAGAACAUAUCAGAAUUCUUGGAUUUCAGCUGAGACUCUCCUUCCCCAUCCUUCAAGGAAAGCUCCUUCUUUACACUUCCUGUUUGGCAUGCUGCCCUCAAGGUGUGUCUCUCCAUUUAUCUCAUGUUGUAUGGUAUUGCCUAUAGAUGACCCUGAGACUCUGCUGGGUUUUGCUAACUUUCUAAUGUUAGCUAAGUGCACUACCAGUAAUACCGUAUAUCCCGGUGUCAUGACAUUGCCCUGUUGGUGAGGUUUAUGACCCCCAUAAAUACCUUUUCCCCUUUCCUCUCUCUACUCUACAGAUUUGACUCUUUGAAAGCCCUUUGUUAACAUAGGGAGAGUCUGGUAACAUCAAAAGGGUGGGGAACGGAACCAUAUUUCGGUAAUCCAAUCAGUUGAAAAUAUCCGUUCGUACUUAAAGAAUAUGAUGUCAGAUCAGUUGUCGUCUGAGACAUUAUUACUGAUGAUAGGAUGACAUUAACUGUAUCUUGGAAGGUCUACACAUUCUAGUUAUCAGAUUCACAUGGAAUUGUUGUGCAAUUUAAAUGUUUAAAUAUGAAGCUAUUUGUGAAAAGAUUAAAUGUAAUUUUAGAUUCUAAAUGAGAAAAUUGUUUUCAUAAAAGUAAACUCUGCUCACUCAAAGGCCCCGCCCAAGUGAACAGACAUUGGUUGUGAACUAUGAAACACGCUCUUCUCUCCACCACUACAAAAGCCCCUUGACGAAAGUCAAUUUAUGUUCCCGACGACGUGAGGACUGAUGUCCGUACGUUAAAAGGUCUAAUACCAACUACAGAACUAAGCCAACCUCAGCAUGAGCUCUGGUUGCGUAAGGUUGAACGACAACAACCUAACAAAAUUAGCAAUGUGUUCCCG